GAUGAACGCUGGCGGCGUGCCUAAUACAUGCAAGUCGAGCGAACGGACGAGAAGCUUGCUUCUCUGAUGUUAGCGGCGGACGGGUGAGUAACACGUGGAUAACCUACCUAUAAGACUGGGAUAACUUCGGGAAACCGGAGCUAAUACCGGAUAAUAUUUUGAACCGCAUGGUUCAAAAGUGAAAGACGGUCUUGCUGUCACUUAUAGAUGGAUCCGCGCUGCAUUAGCUAGUUGAUAAGGUAACGGCUUACCAGGGCAACGAUGCAUAGCCGACCUGAGAGGGUGAUCGGCCACACUGGAACUGAGACACGGUCCAGACUCCUACGGGAGGCAGCAGUAGGGAAUCUUCCGCAAUGGGCGAAAGCCUGACGGAGCAACGCCGCGUGAGUGAUGAAGGUCUUCGGAUCGUAAAACUCUGUUAUUAGGGAAGAACAUAUGUGUAAGUAACUGUGCACAUCUUGACGGUACCUAAUCAGAAAGCCACGGCUAACUACGUG
rnacentral:rRNA from 1 species